rnacentral:lncRNA from 1 species
CUACCGCGGUCGCUGUUGGUGGCGCCGCCGGGCCUGCGACUAGGUGGCAUCCUUCAGACACUAUAGGCCGUCUCUGCACACGUGAUGCGGGGCUCGGUCACGUUGCCCCCUGGAAGCUUGAGGAUGCGCCAGGUUUGACUCUGCAGGGCGUACGCGCUUUAGGGAUGGAAGGAAGAGGAACGCGGCAGGAAGGCGAGCCCCAAGGUGGAGAAUCGCCUGGGCGCGCAGGCUGCGGCGGCUUCGCACAGCCGCCCUGGGCGCUGCACGGGUCCGCGCGCACCCUGCUGCGCACCCACUCGCGGCCAGCUCCCUACAGAGGAGUGGAGUGACUGCUCGACUACCACCCCUCUUUUAGUGUGAGCGUCUGGAGUCCUGACCGCCCCAGCCAGCCCAGCUACGAUGAACUGUCUAAGAGGAUGUGGCAAGACCCAGAAGUAUGGGUGACCUUAUGUCAGAGGAAGUGGCUUUCUUAUUGCAGCAAAAAUUCCCGUACCAAUGUCAGUGCUAGGAUGGAGUUUCACUGUGUCACCCAGGCUGGAGUGCAGUGGCACGAUCUCAGCUCAAUGCAACCUCUGUCUCCUGGGUUCAAGCAAAUCUCCUGCCUCAGCCUCUUGAGUAGCCUGAGUAGCUGGGACUAAAGUAUGAAAGUUUUCAAGACGCCUACAAGUGGAAAAUGCACUCCUCCCAGCCAAAUCAAGCUUCGCCAGAUUCCUUACAGCUGUGUGCAGUGAAAUGACUAAUGAAAGAGCCCUCUGCUGCUGGUGGAACUUUCACAUAUGGCACUGUUAUGCCACUCAGCAGGACCCGACCCUGGUAUUUACAUAUUGGAUGUCACCCCAAAAGCCCCUGACCAGGGGGUUUCCGGGAUGUAAUAAGAAUGCCACUCUGGGCUUUGGAAGGUGCACCGUAUGCACACCCAUACUAUAGGGCAGGGGUUAGCAUUUCAGACCCCUGUUCCUCCCUUGACAAGCAAGUGCUUUUCUCCAGGGAAGACGUUCAGGUUCAUUCAUAGAUCCAUUGGUGCCGUGGGCAGCUCAGUAACAAUAGCUCUGCUGCCUACCAGCUGCUGGUGGAGGUGUUGAGAAUACCUAAUGAGGAAGUCAGGGCCCCUGCGUGCUUCAGCAGAGCUGGAUGCCUGGCAUGGCAAUCAAUGGACACAAACCUUUGGAUAAUUUCCGUCCUUGGCGGUGUGUUCUAUAGCAUAGGUAUGAAGUGGGUGCUCUGGGAGCUCAGAAGAGGGGCUCUUCUCUUAACUUAUGGGUGGCCAGGGAAGGCUUCCUGGAGCUCAAAUGACUGAGUGGAGUCUUCAACAUUAAAAAAAAAAAAAAGAAAAAAAAAGUGCUUCCCUCCCACCCCCAGUUAAAAAGGUAAUACACCUCAUUGAAAUAAUUUAAACUUUACAGAAAUGUGUUCCUUUAAAGUUCAGAGAGUAAAGAGGAAGUAAUAAAGCUGAAAUAGUAGAAUUUCUAAUUAACUGGAGCCUGUAGCUUUCUUCCUGAAAAGGGAGUGGUGUGUGUGCAUGUGUGAGUGUGUGUAGGUGAAUCUGUAAAGGAUGGAGUAGUACUAAAAAGAGGGAGGUGAAGACGGAGGUGAGAUCUCAUCUUUGUGCCCUGAACCUCUUUGUUAUAAUGUCAGGCAAUGAGAGAAAUCAGUACUCACCCUCUAUGGGACUCUGGCUUUUUCAAACUUGGUUUUCUAGGUUUUGGUCUUGGUUAUUGAUGGCUUGUAACUUCAGAGUCUCAUUGCUGGCCACGCUUCCACGUGGUUUAUUAAGAUGUUUUCCUAAACAAAAUUGAUCUCUCCCUA